CAGUUAGAUAAGCCAAUUCAGUUCAUAACCAUGCCUUCUCCUUGUGAACCGUGCAAAGAUUCCUGUGUAGACGGAUGCAACGACAACUGUGAGUGUGAAAAGGACAAAAAUUGUGAGGACUGCUCUUCUACUAAAGGAAGUUGCUGCUAAGAAUGGACAGACAGGGAGACGUCCGCCCUCCACCACGCGUCACCAAAGUUCUUGAAGCUUUCUUCCCUAUCGCUUUCUCUGUAGUUUUCAUCAUUACUAUUGUACUUUUCUUCUGUUUAAUAUAAUGGAUUGUUGAAGUUUAA